UUCUCACAGGUGGAGAAGGAGGGAGCUAUGCUCAGGCUCCAGCUUGAGACAGCUGCCCUGUGGGACUGAGGGACAGGAGAUGUGUUCAAGUCUCUUCUCUGACUUCAAGAACCACUGGAUUGUCUUUGGCGGCAGUGUCUGAAGAUGUCUGCUUUCUCCUGUGUGCAGUGUGAAGACCUGGGAAGACCAGCCCAGCCCUGCCCAGCAGAACCCCUGUCCCUGCUCUGUCCCGUGUUCCCUUCCACAGCCGGCCUUCCUGUUCCAGCACAGGGGGGCGGGGACGUCUCCAUCCUGUCAGCUCCAUGCUGCCCUGAGCUGCCUCGUCUCAUUUCCCACUGAAAGUAAGAAUCUGAACAUUAACCUAAUUGUUCAAAGCAAUGGUCUGUAAGAAUGAAGAAAUAAAUGACAGUCUUGAGAACCUUCUGGAA